UACGGAGGGAGCUAGCGUUGUUCGGAAUUACUGGGCGUAAAGCGCGCGUAGGCGGCUUUGUAAGUUAGAGGUGAAAGCCCGGGGCUCAACCCCGGAACUGCCUUUAAGACUGCAUCGCUUGAAUCCGGGAGAGGUGAGUGGAAUUCCGAGUGUAGAGGUGAAAUUCGUAGAUAUUCGGAAGAACACCAGUGGCGAAGGCGACUCACUGGACGACUGUUGACGCUGAGGUGCGAAAGCGUGGGGAGCAAACAGG
rnacentral:rRNA from 1 species